AUCCUACUCCCUCCGUCCGAAAAUACUUGUCAUCGAAAUGGAUGUAUCUAGAUGUAUUUUAGUUCUAUAUACAUCUAUUUUAACGACAAGUAAUUCCGGACGGAGGAAGUACUAU
rnacentral:pre_miRNA from 1 species